rnacentral:SRP_RNA from 1 species
GGAGGCUGGCGGUGGACGUGCACCCCGCCAACCCGGUCAGGUCCGGAAGGAAGCAGCCGUAACGGGAUUCGCCCGGGUCAUUGUCAGUCUCCCAC